rnacentral:rRNA from 1 species
UACGAAGGGGGCUAGCGUUGUUCGGAAUUACUGGGCGUAAAGCGCGUGUAGGCGGGUUUUUAAGUCAGGGGUGAAAUGCCAGGGCUCAACCUUGGAACUGCCUUUGAUACUGGAGACCUUGAGUCCGGGAGAGGUGAGUGGAAUUGCGAGUGUAGAGGUGAAAUUCGUAGAUAUUCGCAAGAACACCAGUGGCGAAGGCGGCUCACUGGCCCGGAACUGACGCUGAGACGCGAAAGCGUGGGGAGCAAACAGG